GACCUCGUAGCUCAGUUGGCUAGAGCAAUGGCUGUACUAAAGCCUUCCUCUUGCUUGCGUGGGUUCGAAUCCCACCGUGACCG
rfam:Schistocephalus solidus strain NST_G2 genome assembly, scaffold: SSLN_scaffold0000592